GUAGGAGUACACUCGAACAGAAAAAGACAGUGCAACACUCUGAAACUAAUUGCUCCUCGCUUGCAUUCACUGGUUUAUUGGAGCAAUUGUAAAGUUUUGAAACUUUAUUAUCUUCCCUGAAUAGAGUUUGCAGUGCCUUGUCAUGCGAAUAGCUUGCACGCAUGGAACAUUUGGAAUUUUUACGAACUAGGGGCGCUUUCCAUCAACACGGCCAGACCGGUGAAAUUGUUGAA
rnacentral:lncRNA from 1 species